GAUGAACGCUGGCGGCGUGCCUAAUACAUGCAAGUCGAGCGAACAGACGAGGAGCUUGCUCCUCUGACGUUAGCGGCGGACGGGUGAGUAACACGUGGAUAACCUACCUAUAAGACUGGGAUAACUUCGGGAAACCGGAGCUAAUACCGGAUAAUAUAUUGAACCGCAUGGUUCAAUAGUGAAAGACGGUUUUGCUGUCACUUAUAGAUGGAUCCGCGCCGCAUUAGCUAGUUGGUAAGGUAACGGCUUACCAAGGCAACGAUGCGUAGCCGACCUGAGAGGGUGAACCGCCACACUGGAACUGAGACACGGGCCCGACUCCUAAGGGAGGCAGCAGUAGGGAAUCUUCCGCAAUGGGCGAAAGCCUGACGGAGCAACGGCGCGGGAGUGAUGAAGGUCUUCGGAUCGGAAAACUCUGUUAUUAGGGAAGAACAAAUGUGUAAGUAACUAUGCACGUCUUGACGGCACCUAAUCAGAAAGCCACGGCUAACUACGUG
rnacentral:rRNA from 1 species